GCGGUUUUGGGGUUCAGGACGCUGGGAUCGGCGGCGCUAUGAGUUCUUUCGAGGGGCAGAUGGCCGAGUAUCCAACUAUCUCCAUAGACCGCUUCGACAGGGAGAACCUGAGGGCCCGCCCCUACUUCCUGUCCCACUGCCACAAAGGUCACAUGAAAGGAUUAAGAGCCCCUACCUUGAAAAGAAGGUUGGAGUGCAGACACAUCUGAUCACAUACAAGCGCGUAUUUCCAAGUAACAAUGGUGAGGGACCACUGUUGGAGGAGGUCCAGGGACAC
rnacentral:lncRNA from 1 species